rnacentral:rRNA from 1 species
GACGAACGCUGGCGGCGUGCUUAACACAUGCAAGUCGAACGGAGCGAAUGAAAGCUUGCUUUUAUAAGCUUAGUGGCAAACGGGUGAGUAACACGUAGACAACCUGCCGACAGGAUGGGGACAACAUUCCGAAAGGAAUGCUAAUACCGAAUGAAGCGGAGGAGAGGCAUCUCUCCUCUGUGAAAGAUGGCCUCUAUAUAUAAGCUAUCACCUGUUGAUGGGUCUGCGUCUGAUUAGCUGGUAGGUGAGGUAACGGCUCACCUAGGCGACGAUCAGUAGCCGGUCUGAGAGGAUGAACGGCCACAUUGGGACUGAGACACGGCCCAGACUCCUACGGGAGGCAGCAGUGGGGAAUCUUCCGCAAUGGGCGCAAGCCUGACGGAGCAACGCCGCGUGAGUGAAGAAGGUCUUCGGAUCGUAAAGCUCUGUUGAUGGGGACGAACGUACGGAGUGCGAAUAGUGCUCNGUAANGA